rnacentral:tRNA from 1 species
UGCAGAGAAGCCCUAUGCGCCGCGUCUGAAAAUCGUGGUGUCGCCGGUUCGAUUCCGGCCCUCGCCA